rnacentral:rRNA from 1 species
AGUGAACGCUGGCGGUAGGCCUAACACAUGCAAGUCGAACGGCAGCACAGUAAGAGCUUGCUCUUACGGGUGGCGAGUGGCGGACGGGUGAGGAAUACAUCGGAAUCUACUUUUUCGUGGGGGAUAACGUAGGGAAACUUACGCUAAUACCGCAUACGACCUACGGGUGAAAGCAGGGGAUCUUCGGACCUUGCGCGAUUGAAUGCGCCGAUGUCGGAUUAGCUAGUUGGCGGGGUAAAGGCCCACCAAGGCGACGAUCCGUAGCUGGUCUGAGAGGAUGAUCGGCCACACUGGAACUGAGACACGGUCCAGACUCCUACGGGAGGCAGCAGUGGGGAAUAUUGGACAAUGGGCGCAAGCCUGAUCCAGCCAGACCGCGUGGGUGAAGAAGGCCUUCGGGUUGUAAAGCCCCUUUGUUGGGAAAGAAAAGCAGCAGGUUAAUACCCCGCUGUUCUGACGGUACCCAAAGAAUAAGCACCGGCUAACUUCGUG